CCUCGGAGGGCGAGUUCACGGCUCUGAUCCCACCCACUUGAGGUCUGAGUCAUGUUGCAGUCACCGCUGCCUGGAUAUUGGUMCGAGAGGAGGGAGGAGGAGAGGAGAGGGACGGAGAGAGCCGCGGCUCGCAGCGCACGCUUCUGCCUUGGCAACUGAGCCGCACGCAGCCGGGGAAAGUUGGAGACAGCGCGGCCACCGAGGGCUCCCCGCGCUCAGGGGCUCGGGGAAAGCAGCCCCUUUCCCAGAUUGUCCUCGGGAGGUGGCAAAGCUCUGUCCCUGCUGGAGGAGUGUUGACCACAUACACAGAGGGCAUGAGACCCCACAGGACCUGACCCCAUGUUCUCUCAGAGGAAAGSAGAAGGCAGGAAAGGAAAAGGGGCAGCUGAGACCCACCAGCAGCUGCCAGGGCAUCAUCUCCAGCGCCAAGCUCCCAGAAGGGGCAAACAGGCACCAGUGAGUUGCAGGGGCACACCAUUCCUAGGCCAUGUCAUUCCCAGCACACAAGGCUGAACAUGAAAAGUGACUCUGCAAUGUUCUCCAAGGUCACUGCAGACCAAGGAUUGCUCUGGGAAGGGCUCUAGGCCUGCCUGGCACAGGCUCYGAGCAGCUCUGGAGCUGAUGAUAGCAGGACUGCUCCAUCCAUGCAACAGCACCAUGGAUCCGUGUUACAACCACACCAGCGCUCAAAAGAGGUUGGACUUUCCCCUGCAGCUGCUGGUCGGGUCCUUCCUCGUCAUCCUCAUCAYGAUCACCCUCUGUGGUAACAUCAUYGUGUGCCUGGCCGUCACCCUGGACCGGCGUCUGCGCAGCCUGACCAACUGCAUCAUCGUGUCCCUGGCCAUCACAGACCUGCUGCUGGGCCUCCUGGUGCUGCCCUUCUCCGCCUACUACGAGCUGGCCAAGGAGUGGCCCUUUGGCAGCGUUCUGUGCAACAUCUACACCAGCCUGGACGUCAUGCUGUGCACGGCCUCCAUCCUCAACCUCUUCAUGAUCAGCCUGGACCGCUACUUCGCCGUCACCACGCCRCUGCGCUACCGCCAGCUGGUCACUCCGUCCCGGGUGGCCGUGGGUUUGGUCGUCAUCUGGACGGUUUCGCUGAUGGUUUCCUUCCUGCCCAUCCACCUGGGCUGGAACACCAACGGCACGGCCGUGCAGAACACGGGCCCCRCCAGCCACAAGCAGUGCACGCUGGCCGUGAACCCCGUGUACGGCUUGGUGGAUGCCCUGCUCACCUUCUACAUCCCCCUGGUCAUCAUGUGCAUCACCUACUACAAGAUCCUCAGGAUAGCCAGGGAGCAGGCCAAGAGGAUCAACCACACGUGGGGCAGCAGCCCCAYGCCGCCCAUGGUGAGGGAGCACAAAGCCACCGUGACGCUGGCAGUGGUGCUGGGGGCGUUCAUCGUCUGCUGGUUCCCCUAUUUCACCGUCUUCACCUACCGGGGCGUGUGGGGGGACGGCAGGGUGGAGGGCACGCCCAUGUCCAUCGUGCUCUGGCUGGGCUAUGCCAACUCAGCCCUGAACCCCAUCCUCUACGGGACCCUCAACAGGGAUUUCCGAGUGGCCUACCAGCACUUGCUGCGCUGCUGGAGGACGGGGCACCUCAGGAACUCUCACCUGCCUCCCCUCCAGAAGGGCCAGCCCAGGGACAGGCAGGGCCAGGGCAGGCMGGAGGGCAAACCCUUGAAACUGGAGGUGAGGAACAAGAAGGGGACCCUGCUCACUGAUGGAGCCCUCAAGAGCACCGGAGCUUUUCUGUGAGUCUCAGCCAGCCCACUGCCCGAGGACCCACAUCUCCCAGCCUUCAACUCCUGGCUGCCCUCUCCCAAAAUCCUGUGUGUGAGGUUGAAACGACAACACUCAGCUUUCCUCAGUGAGAAACUCGACAGCAGAGGUGAGAGCUGCAAGGCAUCCCAUCCUGAUGGCACCUGGUGCAAAGGGUGGCACCAUCAGAGGUGCACCUUCACUCCUUCAUCCAGCACUGUUUGCUCUCCAAACCCAGCCCCAAGCCCAGGGRAGGUGCACAGAGCCGGGCCCCCCUCCCUGUGGCUGCCUUGGAGGUUUGGGCUUGCAGAACCAGCCUGAGAUGCCCUGGGAGAUGCUGCAUCCUCACGCACUGCAGAGGCAGCUGCAUUCAGACCACGGAUUUCCAGCACACUUCAUUUUCAUGCAAGCCUACAUCCACAUAAAUUGCCAGCAGCUUUGGCGGAGAUGCUGGCAGGGCUCCCGAGGUGAAGAGCUGAUGCUGCACCAGGCUUUGCUGCACUCUCCAAGCGGUGCUGGGCUGGAGGCCAUGGCUGCCAUGCAUGGGGAAUGCCUCUCAUCUCCAGAGAGCCACUUUGUGCUCAGCUUUUCUCAGGAAGAGUCAGGCAAGGUCACCCCGACCUCCACACGCUCUCCCUGCAGCGCUGCUYGCUGAUAACCUGGGCUCUCCAUAUUGACUGUGCCUCGAGGGAAAAAACAUGGUCACCUCUGUGCUGGAAGCUGAGCACAACCUAUCCCUGCUGCACACUGAGCACUGCUAACCUUAGCCAAGGUCACAGCAACAGCAGGAGCUGCUGCUCUGUGCACACACAGAGCUGCAAGGGUGCUGGAGCACAGGGUCCCCCUAACAGCACCAAACUGCUCUGCUCCCCCUGAAUCACCCUGGAAACGCCAGUGCCCGUCAGCAGCAGGAGAACCACAGCAGUGGAGGCUGCAGAUGCAGCUCCUUGGGGAGGAAUCGUUGCUGCCCUGCAGGAAGGAGCAGAAUGAAGCCCCCAGUCUGGAAAGCACAAAGCAAAGCUGCCCAGGGCAGGCACAGCACUCACCCCCUCAGCGGUGAGACACAAGGCACAGUCAUCUCUGCUGCUGUCAUUGCCCAGCAGCAGGGGCAGAGGGGACACCAAUUCCUGCUCUUCUGCUUCGUGCUUUCCAUCUCUGCGCACGUGUUCGAAGACGCACGUAGUUUGUAGUUUCCGUGAGGUAAAGGCAAAAUGCCAGCCAUCCCUUGAGAGACUGCUGAUCUAAUCAGCAGAGUGAAGCAAAGGCCUGGGGGAGAGGUUUGCAGGAGAUCUGAGGACCUGGCCUGGCCACAGAUUUCCUUUCUGYACCAUGGGGGUGGGGACAGGAAAUGCCACCUCGUACAGGACACCCACCCAAAGAGUCUCUGACUUAAAAAAAUCCCUGAUCCACAGCAAUAUUGGGGGAAAGGCCAUGGGAGAAGCAGCACACAGGAGCAGAGCACUGCCAGCCUCAGGACACCAACUUUUGUCAGGUUACAGCUCAGGACACCAACUUUUGUCAGGUUACACCUCUGACAGCCCUGCUGCUGCUGGCUGGUCCGAGGGACAGGAAGAACAGGCAGAGAAAACCACAAAGCAGAGUGAUAUCGCUCAGGGGGGAGUUGGGUGAUAGAUCUUGGGGUGCUGCAAGCCUGYUCAGCCCUGCCCAAAUGUCAGCACUCAGCAUUUAGCCGUGCUCUGCUGAGAGCAUCCUCGCAGCAUCGCAUCACGGUCCCUCCCAGGCACAACAGGAGCUGAAUGCAGCAUCCCUCACACACUGGGAUGGGGAGGGGGGGAGAUGGACCCAUCUGAACCCUGCAAAGCCACUGAUCGCCCUCUGUUCCCCUGCAGGAUCCCUGCUCUGGCAUUCACUGCUCUGCCCAGCCGGGAGGGUGGAGUUUUGGAGAGCCCUCGGAGGAGCUGCACAAGAACAUCUCCCCAGCCCUGCCUGGCAGUGACAGUUUGAGCAUCAAGCCCCAGCCCCAUCUCAGCAGGAAGAGAUGCCUGAGGAGGGGUCAGAAGCCAGCACACGCCCCUGGCAGGGCUGGCACGGGGGUCACCUCCCCAGAGCCACAACAGAGGGUCAGGCUGCAAGGGCACAGGGUGGAAAAAGGGCAAAGGGGCUGCAGUCGAGCUCUUGGUGCCAGGCACAGCAGCUUAGGAUGGAGAAAGGCAACAGAGGCACUGCCUGCCCUGGUGCCCUGCGCCAUACCCACCCCUCAGAGGGGGUGGUGAGGCAGGGCGGUUCAGAGUGGUGGGUGGUGGCACUCACCAGUGCCAGCUGUCUGUGCUCACGACAUCCCCGUCCCUCAGUGUCCCUGCUGCAGCAGGACUGCCUCCCACACCGGGGAGGGUUUGGCAUCCCUGGGGCUGUCCUUGAUACACACUCCCUGUCCCAGCCCUGCUGCAAGGCAGAAUGGAGCUCUGCAGGGCCACGGGGAGGAUCUGAGCAGCCAGGGUUUGCCCCAGGCUCUGCCCUCCCCAGCAGCUCAAUGUGAACGCUCCCAAAAGAGGAUGUUUCUGCCCCAAGCCUGUGCAGGAAUCAYCAGUGAUAUAAAAAUCUGUUUAAGACGGGAAUCUGUGUAAGAAGGAAAAUGAGAUGCUUGAUUUGUUCGGGCAUGUUUUGUCCGGGGAAGAGCCUCCCUGUCCCUCUAUACCCUGCUGUCCCAUCCCCAUCCCGCUGCUGGGACACAGAGGGACACUCAGCACAAGGACAGAUUGAGAAAUUGCCCCAUCAGCAGCUUUACAGAGCAGCAGGAGCCGAGUCCCUGCCGAGGAGCACACGGGGAGCUGGUGUUCCCCAAACAAAGCAGGCAGGAGCGGGCCGGAACCGCCUGCAGCAGCCACGCUCCGCUCCAGCUCGGAGAAAAACUGGCAAACACACACCCAAACCCCUGCCACCUAUGAUAACAAUUAGAGACUUAUCUAAUUGCAAAAAUAAUUGCAAUUGAAGUGUUUAAUUACCAUACUAAGCAGGAAGAGCCGUUUCCUACUGUUCCAGCAGCACUCCCGAUCCAUCAAACAAGGUUUGGGGCUUGUUUGGGUGCUGGGCUUUUUUGGUUGGUUUUUUAUUUUUUUUUAAUUUUAUUAUUAGAUUGCAGCCCCAGGGGAUGAAGAGAUUUGCUAAUUAGGGUCUYGGAGAACAGCUACCAAUUCACAAACACUUGCUUUUAAUUUCAAUACUAACGAGGUUGGAAGGGGGAGAAAUCCAAAGCGCAGAACAUCUGUGGCUGCUGCAGCGCUGUCCCAGCCCCUCACUGGGCUGACAUUGCUCGUGGACCAUCCCAGAGCCCACGGGAUGGACUAGGAAGGGCUGGCUCGGUGCAAACAUAGACAGGGUGGAGCUGCUGCUCCGGGUCACCGCAGCCACCACACAAACUAAUCCGAGCAUCGAUCGUCUGUCUAAUCCCCUCGGGGACCAUCGGCUUUCUCAGUGAUGGGCUAAUCCCGGUCCUGAGGCAGCCGUUCCAUCCCCUGGGGGUGCAGCAGCGAGAAUUUCUCCAGGUGACUGCUUGGUUUUGUUCUCCUCUAAACUGACAACAAAAGGGAAUUUAAUUCUCUCACCAAGCAGCAAUUCUGUGAGGGAAGAGAAAGUGCUUAGGAAGCUCCUAACCAACAUCUGCUCUCUCAGAUAGGAAAUAUCCCCGGCUAGUGGAGGCAGCAYGGGCACGGAUGGCUGCCAAGCACGUGGGGACAUCCCCAUCCCCCUGUCCUGCCGGGGACACAGAGCUCACCCUGCCCUGUACAUGGGACCAAAUCCUCACCGCAGGGACCCACGGUGCCUACCUGGGCUCCUUCCACCAAACCACCUCUCCCGUCCUCGCCACAGCUCUGGGUAGGGCCCAAAAACCUGCAAAGAGGAGACACGGGGAAGGAGAGAAGCGCACAGGAGGCGGCAGCAGCCGCAGGGCAUCCAGGCAUCCUGUCCCCCAGGAGCGCAGUGAGACGAGGUGGCUGCCACGGGCCRGAGGCAAAGGAGCGUUUUAUUUCUUUUAGAUAAAAGAGAAACAUCAGUAGAAUGAGAAAAAAGUGUCUUGGGCUCGGGUUUUUUUUUUUUUUCAGGCUGUCAUGUGAUUAAACACAGAGGAAAUAGAAAGGUAGAGAACAGCCCCGAGCAGUCGAAAAUGAGAAACUUUGUGUUAGAAAUCUCAAGAUUGGAUUUUCUGGAAUAAAAUACAUUUUGG